rnacentral:lncRNA from 1 species
GUUUCUAUAAGUUUUCUUUGAAAACUAUACAUAAAAUGAAAUGUUCUAAGGAAAUAUUCUUUUAGUCACUUAAAUUAAUAUUUAAUUUUUACUAUGUGCCAGGUGCUAUAUCAGGAACUAAGGAUAGAGUAAAUAAAACAGGACUUCCAGCCCUUAACAGUGCUCACAGUCUAGUUUCUGAGACUUCUCAUUUUGACUCUGAAGGUUUACUAGAACUGAACUUGUAAAACCAUCUAGUCCCAGAGCCCACUUCGGGGCGCAUCUUUGGCAGCCUGUCAAUCUUCUUGAGCUGUUUACCGCUUGCAUAUCUCUGGAUAGUCACUGUUUUUACUUACAUCUUUUUUUCUUCCUUUUUUGGCAGUUGUGGGGUUUGAACCCAAGCCCUUCACACUGAGCUACAUCUCCAGCCCUUUAUUUUGACUCAGGGUCUCAUUAUGUUACAAAGUUGUCCAGGUGGGGGCCAACUUGUGAUUCGCCCUGCCUCAGCCAGAAUGCUAGGAUUAUAGUCAUGUAUCACCAUACCAGCUGGUUUUACUUAAGUUUUUUCAUUUAUUGGUAUAAAGCAGUAUAAAUUAUUUUCUUAGAAUCAGAAGAAUAUUCUCCUUAAUUUUUUAUUCCUAUGCCCUAUAGCACAGUUUUCAUCCUACUGUUCUUUGGUUAUUUUGUGGUUCUUUUUUUCUUGAAUGCUUAAUUUUUUAUCUUAAUUUUAUUUAUUUAUUUUUAUUUUUUGGUGUGCAUCACUACAUCAGCUUUUUUGUUGUUUUGUUUUUGGUACCGGGGAUUGAACUCAGGUCCUUGCGCUUGCAAGGCAGGCAGCAAAACCACUGAGCUAAAUCCCUGGCCCUCUUAUCUUAAUUUUAAAACAUUCUUUCAAGACUAAAUUUUCUUGUGACUAUAUCAUUGACUACAUUUCACAGACUGAUACCUUUUGACAUUAGUUUCUAAAAAGUCAGUCAUUCUGAUUUUCUCUCUUAAAAGUGUUUCUUAAUUUCCAUAGAUUUAGAAAGCCAAGAAAGUUCCAUGCCCAUACCCUAGCUACUCUGCAGUGUUGUUACUGAGCAUGACCUGCACCACCACUACUUGGAGGUUUUUUCCUCCUCUUGCUUAGUACAUGAUUCAUUGUUGGAAUGGCCCUGUGGGCAUUCAAUAAAAGUGAAUUCUGGGGGCUGGGGAUUUAGCUCAGUGGUUCUGCCACCUGCCUAGCAAGCACAAGAACCCGAGUUCAAUCCCCGGUACCAAAAAAAAAAAAAGAAAAAGAAGUCAAUUCUGUUAUACAAAAAUCACUCAUUCAUUAAAUAUUACUCAGUUUUUGUAUAAGACCUGAUUGAUACAUGAUGACGGAAAUGUUGUUUACAUUGUCCAAUGUGGUAGCCAUUAGUCAAACAUAGCUAUUGAACUCUUGAAUUGUGGCUAAUCUGAUCAAAGAACUGAAGUGUUAAUUUCAGUGAGCAAAAGGAAGUCUCUGUUUCCACUGAGCUAAUGUAGUAAGAACAAAUAACAAAAAAGUAAAAACCGUGAGAUAUAUUAAAUGCCAUGAGACCUAGCAGGCAUACUGCUGUAUUUCAUUAGGGCAGUAGGGAAACUCAACUAUAGUGACAUCUGGGUAGAGACUUCAGUGAGAGGAGGGAGCAAGCUGUGUAUCUGAGGGAAGGUAUUCCAGGGAGAGGGAACAAGUGCAAAAGUUUUCCUAUCUAGACACUAUUUGCUCUGCCAAAUUCUGAAAGGUAAAAGUGCUGGCCUGUUUAUCAAGAUUGUAAUUUUGCCAAACUUUUUUUUUUUUUUUGCAGUACUGGGGACUGAACACAGGGCCUUUUGCACUACACUAUAUCUCCAUCUCUCUUUUUUUUCCGGUACCAGGGAUCGAACUCAGGACCUUGCGCUUGUGAAGCAGGCAUGGUGCCACUGAGCUAAAUCCCUGGUCCUCUCCAUCUCUUUUUGAGACAAAAUCUUGCUAAGUUGCCCAGGCUGGGCAUAAAUUUAUGAUCCACCUGCUGUAGCUCCAGAGUGCUGGGAUUACAAGCAUGUGCCACCACGCGCAGCUCUUGCCAUACUCUUAUACAUGUAACAUCUGUUUUAUACAGUUCUUAUUCAAUGCAUAAUGAUUCAUAAGUAACAUUUUACCAGCUAUGUAAUAUCCUCUUAGCUCCACCUAAUAAUUUCUGAUAUCAAGUGUCUGACUUUUUAAAUUGUUACUCCACCUUUCCACUUGUAUUUGCCCUAUAUUUUUUCUGGUAUUGGGAAUCGAACUCAGGACCUUGCACUUGCCAGGCAGGCAUGGUGCCACUGAGCUACAUCCCCAGCCCUAUAUUAUCCUUGUGCUUUCAUCCCUUGGAAUUUUUUAAUUUUUUUUUUUUUUGUAGUACUGGGGAUUGAACCCAGGGCCUCAUACAUGCUAGCCAAGCAAGCACUCUACCUCUUUUUUUAUUUUUUAUUUUUUUUUGGUACCAGAGAUCGAACUCAGGUCCUUGCGCUUGCGCAGCAGGCAGCAAGACCACUGAGCUAAAUCCCCAGCCCACUACCUCUUUUUUUAAAUUUUGAGGCAAGGUUUCAUUAUAUUGCCCAGGCUGGCCUCAAACUUGCAGUUUUUCUGAUGUAGCCUUCCAAAGUGCUGGGAUUAUAGGCGUGUGCCAGCCAGCAUGGGGGUUUCUCUUUGAUCAGAUUUAUUAUAUUUAAUAUAAUAUUUGUAUUGGUCUUGUUUCUAUGUUAAUUUAACCAGGAAUCAAACUUGGUACCUUGUGCUUGCAAGGCAGGCAGUGGAACCACUGAGCUAAAUCCCUGGCCUAUCUUAAUUUUCUUACCUUUUUUUUUUUUUUUUUUUUUGGUACCGGGGAUCGAAAUCAGGUCCUCACAUUUGGGCAGCAGACAGCAAAACCACUGAGCUAAAUCCCCGGCCCUUUCUUACC